GAGUUUGAUCGUGGCUCAGGAUGAACGCUGGCGGCGUGCCUAAUACAUGCAAGUCGAGCGAACAGACGAGGAGCUUGCUCCUCUGACGUUAGCGGCGGACGGGUGAGUAACACGUGGAUAACCUACCUAUAAGACUGGGAUAACUUCGGGAAACCGGAGCUAAUACCGGAUAAUAUAUUGAACCGCAUGGUUCAAUAGUGAAAGACGGUUUUGCUGUCACUUAUAGAUGGAUCCGCGCCGCAUUAGCUAGUUGGUAAAGUAACGGCUUACCAAGGCAACGAUGCGUAGCCGACCUGAGAGGGUGAUCGGCCACACUGGAACUGAGACACGGUCCAGACUCCUACGGGAGGCAGCAGUAGGGAAUCUUCCGCAAUGGGCGAAAGCCUGACGGAGCAACGCCGCGUGAGUGAUGAAGGUCUUCGGAUCGUAAAACUCUGUUAUUAGGGAAGAACAAAUGUGUAAGUAACUAUGCACGUCUUGACGGUACCUAAUCAGAAAGCCACGGCUAACUACGUGCCAG
rnacentral:rRNA from 1 species